CCUACGGGAGGCAGCAGUGGGGAAUAUUGGGCAAUGGACGCAAGUCUGACCCAGCAACGCCGCGUGAAGGAAGAAGGCUUUCGGGUUGUAAACUUCUUUUAACAGGGAAGAGAAGAAGACGGUACCUGUUGAAUAAGCCACGGCUAACUACGUGCCAGCAGCCGCGGUAAU
rnacentral:rRNA from 1 species